rnacentral:rRNA from 1 species
AUUGAACGCUGGCGGAAUGCUUUACACAUGCAAGUCGAACGAUGAACCUUAGCUUGCUAAGGGGAUUAGUGGCGAACGGGUGAGUAAUGUAUCGGAACGUAUCCAAUAAUGGGGGAUAACUAGUCGAAAGAUUAGCUAAUACCGCAUACGUCCUACGGGAGAAAGCUAGGGACCUUCGGGCCUGGCGUUAAUGGAGCGGCCGAUAUCUGAUUAGCUAGUUGGUGGGGUAAAGGCUCACCAAGGCGACGAUCAGUAGCUGGUCUGAGAGGACGACCAGCCACCCUGGAACUGAGACACGUUCCAGACUCCUACGGGAGGCAGCAGUGGGGAAUUUUGGACAAUGGGCGAAAGCCUGAUCCAGCCAUUCCGCGUGAGUGAAGAAGGCCUUCGGGUUGUAAAGCUCUUUCGCAAGAGAAGAAAACUUAAGCUCUAACAUAGCUUGAGGUUGACGGUACCUUGAUAAGAAGCACCGGCUAACUACGUGCCAGCCGCCGCGGUAA